rfam:Sarcophilus harrisii ctg7180002178589, whole genome shotgun sequence.
UAGUGAAAACAGAUUUACAUUUUAUACACAAUCAUACUGCAGCUAAAAGUGGCUUUCUUUGCAGAACUUAGUCACAUAUUUUUUUUCCUCUCUCUGAAGUAAUAUUGAAUGGCAU